rnacentral:tRNA from 1 species
CGAGGCGAAGCUCGUAGGCUGGAGCGUUCAUAAAAGUGAAUGUCGGGGGUUCGAAUCCUUCCGCUUCGA